rnacentral:rRNA from 1 species
GGUAGGAAUACCCGCUGAACUUAAGCAUAUCAAUAAGCGGAGGA